rnacentral:rRNA from 1 species
AGACGGGACCCGCACAAGCGGUGAUGAUGUGGUUUAAUUCGAUGCAACGCGAAAACCUUACCCACCUUUGACAUGGCAGGAAUCCCGAAGAGAUUUGGGAGUGCUCGAAAGAGAACCUGCACACAGGUGCUGCAUGGCUGUCGUCAGCUCGUGUCGUGAGAUGUUGGGUUAAGUCCCGCAACGAGCGCAACCCUUGUCAUUAGUUGCCAUCAUUUGGUUGGGCACUCUAAUGAGACUGCCGGUGACAAACCGGAGGAAGGUGGGGAUGACGUCAAGUCCUCAUGGCCCUUAUGGGUAGGGCUUCACACGUCAUACAAUGGUCGGUACAGAGGGGUUGCCAACCCGCGAGGGGGGAGCUAAUCCCACAAAGCCGAUCGUAGUCCGGAUCGCAGUCUGCAACUCGACUGCGUGAAGUCGGAAUCGCUAGUAAUCGUGGAUCAGCAUGUCACGGUGAAUACGUUCCCGGGUCUU